CAAUAGCGUAUAUUAAAGUUGUUGCGGUUAAAAAGCUCGUAGUUGGAUUUCUGCUGAGAACGACCGGUCCGCCCUUUGGGUGUGUAUCUGGCUCUUUCUUGGCAUCUUCUUGGUGAACGUUGCUGCACUUGACUGUGUGGAGCGCUACCCAGGACUUUUACUUUGAGGAAAUUAGAGUGUUUCAAGCAGGCAUACGCCUUGAAUACAUUAGCAUGGAAUAAUAAGAUAGGACCUCGGUUCUAUUUUGUUGGUUUCUAGAGCUGAGGUAAUGAUUAAUAGGGAUAGUUGGGGGCAUUCGUAUUUAACUGUCAGAGGUGAAAUUCUUGGAUUUGUUAAGGACGGACUACUGCGAAAGCAUUUGCCAAGGAUGUUUNCAUUG
rnacentral:rRNA from 1 species